rnacentral:lncRNA from 1 species
UAAGUCGAUCGAUUUGAGUAAAGCCAGUGAUAGAAUGGAAUGGGGAAAUGAUACAGAAAAUGUUUCUUCAAGUGAUUGAAGUAAAUCUAUUUGGACUCUACAGUCAUCACUUGCAGCAGCGAGAACAGAGAAUUUUUAAUAUCCUCCAGAACGAAACUGAAAAAGGUAUGCAUUUUUGUACUCCGUUCUGUAUAUUCUCUAAUAUUAUGUACAUGUAAUAUUGAAUGGUUUGGUUUUUGCGAUCAGUUACCAAUUCUGUGGAUUACAUUGCUUUUCUUUUCAGGGUGGGUUGAACAAGUUCCAUGGUCAACAUGCUUUGAGUGAGAGAGUGCAAGAAAUAUAGAUCUGGGCACCUUGAUUAUAAGGUAAUGAACUAAAG